rnacentral:lncRNA from 1 species
AGACCUUUUUGCAGAAUUUACCAGGUGAGUGAUUUUCCCUGGACGUUAGUGAUUUAUGUGAACUCCAGAUCAGUGAAAUGCACAGUCUCAGAAGGAAGGACAUGCAACAUCUCACAGAUCACAGCCUUAAAAAGGAUCCAAAACCAGUCAGCAACCACAUCUUCCACACGCUGCAGAGCUGCCCUUCAGAAUCCUCUGGUUUGUACCUGGAGGGAGCCUCGGACACGUAGGUCACGGCAAGUUAAAAGAAGUGGAGUUAAGGAUGUCACCCCAAAACCUGCGCCCGCUCCCCUCUCAGCACCAUCUCCGCACGUCCCACACGGAGUCCUGCACCUUCCAGGAGCUAUGCAAAGGAAGGGUGGAGCCCGUUCCUCACCUCCUGUCCGCAGCCGCAGAAGAUAGUACAUCCUGAAAGCGUGACAUCUGCCACAAUCCCUUUUUCCUCCUUCCCCUCGCGGAAGAGAAGGAAGGGUAGAUUGGGACAGUU